rnacentral:rRNA from 1 species
AGAGUUUGAUCCUGGCUCAGGAUGCAACGCUAGCGGCAGGCUUAAUACAUGCAAGUCGAGGGGCAGCAGGAAUUGCAAUAUUUGCUGGCGACCGGCGCACGGGUGCGUAACACGUAUACAAUCUGCCUCUUACAGGGGGAUAGCCCGGAGAAAUCCGGAUUAAUACCCCAUAACAGUUGRUUCGGCAUCGAACUGAUUUGAAAGUUCYGACGGUAAGAGAUGAGUAUGCGUCUGAUUAGCUAGUUGGUGAGGUAACGGCUCAUCAAGGCAACGAUCAGUAGGGGAUCUGAGAGGACUACCCCCCACACUGGUACUGAGACACGGACCAGACUCCUACGGGAGGCAGC